rnacentral:rRNA from 1 species
CCUACGGGGGGCAGCAGUGAGGAAUAUUGGUCAAUGGGCGUAAGCCUGAACCAGCCAAGUCGCGUGAGGGAUGAAGGUUCUAUGGAUCGUAAACCUCUUUUAUAAGGGAAUAAAGUGUGGGACGUGUCCUGUUUUGUAUGUACCUUAUGAAUAAGGAUCGGCUAACUCCGUGCCAGCAGCCGCGGUAAUACGGAGGAUCCGUGCGUUAUCCGGAUUUAUUGGGUUUAAAGGGUGCUUAGGCGGUCUUUUAAGUCAGCGGUGAAAGUCUGUGGCUCAACCAUAGAAUUGCCGUUGAAACUGGGAGGCUUGAGUAUGUUUGAGGCAGGCGGAAUGCGUGGUGUAGCGGUGAAAUGCUUAGAUAUCACGCAGAACCCCGAUUGCGAAGGCAGCCUGCCAAGCCAUGACUGACGCUGAUGCACGAAAGCGUGGGGAUCAAACAGGAUUAGAUACCCUAGUAGUC